AGCGAACGCUGGCGGCAGGCCUAACACAUGCAAGUCGAACGAACCUUUCGGGGUUAGUGGCGGACGGGUGAGUAACACGUGGGAACGUGCCUUUAGGUUCGGAAUAACUCAGGGAAACUUGUGCUAAUACCGAAUGUGCCCUUCGGGGGAAAGAUUUAUCGCCUUUAGAGCGGCCGCGUCUGAUUAGCUAGUUGGUUGAGGUAAUGGCUCACCAAGGCGACGAUCAGUAGCUGGUCUGAGAGGAUGAUCAGCCACAUUGGGACUGAGACACGGCCCAAACUCCUACGGGAGGCAGCAGUGGGGAAUCUUGCGCAAUGGGCGAAAGCCUGACGCAGCCAUGCCGCGUGAAUGAUGAAGGUCUUAGGAUUGUAAAAUUCUUUCACCGGGGACGAUAAUGACGGUACCCGGAGAAGAAGCCCCGGCUAACUUCG
rnacentral:rRNA from 1 species